rnacentral:rRNA from 1 species
UACGAAGGGGGCUAGCGUUGCUCGGAAUCACUGGGCGUAAAGCGCACGUAGGCGGCUUUGUAAGUUAGAGGUGAAAGCCCGGGGCUCAACUCCGGAACUGCCUUUAAGACUGCAUCGCUUGAAUCCGGGAGAGGUGGAGUGGAAUUCCGAGUGUAGAGGUGAAAUUCGUAGAUAUUCGGAAGAACACCAGUGGCGAAGGCGGCUCACUGGACCGGGUAUUGACGCUGAGGUGCGAAAGCGUGGGGAGCAAACAGG